GAUGAACGCUGGCGGCGUGCCUAAUACAUGCAAGUCGAGCGAACAGACGAGGAGCUUGCUCCUCUGACGUUAGCGGCGGACGGGUGAGUAACACGUGGAUAACCUACCUAUAAGACUGGGAUAACUUCGGGAAACCGGAGCUAAUACCGGAUAAUAUAUUGAACCGCAUGGUUCAAUAGUGAAAGACGGUUUUGCUGUCACUUAUAGAUGGAUCCGCGCCGCAUUAGCUAGUUGGUAAGGUAACGGCUUACCAAGGCAACGAUGCGUAGCCGACCUGAGAGGGUGAUCGGCCAGACUGGAACUGAGACACGGUCCAGACUCCGACGGGAGGCAGCAGUAGGGAAUCUUCCGCAAUGGGCGAAAGCCUGACGGAGCAACGCCGCGUGAGUGAUGAAGGUCUUCGGAUCGUAAAACGCUGUUAUUAGGGGAGAACAAAUGUGUAAGUAACUAUGCACGUCUUGACGGUACCUAGUCAGAAAGCCACGGCUAACUACGUG
rnacentral:rRNA from 1 species